GCCUAGUUAGCUUAGUUGAUAGUGCGUCUGCCUUGUAAGCGCUAGGCCGCGGGUUCGAUUCCCGCCCGGGGCA
rfam:Asian citrus Psyllid, Diaphorina citri - Florida Strain, whole genome shotgun sequence.